GCCGCGCCGCUGCCGCGCCCGGCGCUCGGCCGGCUGCUGGGCGAGCCGACCAGCGGGUUGCUGCACACGUUCACGAAGCAGCGGUGCUCCCCGUCCAGGCUGGUACGCAGCACGUGGCCCGGCUCCGGGUGCACGAACCGCACCUCCACCCCGCGCUCCCGCUCCAGCGCUGUGAUCUCCUCCUCGUAGCGCCUCCGGUUCUCAGGGUCGGUGAUCUCCGAGGCAUACUCGGAGAACAUUCGGCGGAACUCUGGGUCCUGAAAGGCGGAGGUGAGCCGCUGCACCUCCUCUCCGCUCAGAUCCAAGUCCUCCAGCGCUGAGGAGGCCGCCGCCUUGGCCAUGGUGCCUCACUCCGCCCCUCACCAGAGCCCGGUGAAGGAUCAGCCCGAACCUAAGAUGCGCUUUGGGAACUAGCAGAAGUGAUCAGCCUAGGAAGGUCCUAAAGUCAAUCAUAUCUUCAGAUACUGAAGCAGCUUGAACAUUCCAGAGUCAUUUCAAAGUGCUGUAGAAAAAUUAAAUAAUCAAGUGCACUGUAAUGAAAUUUCAUUCUUCAGGCUUGGACUCUGGACAUUUGGGCAGUUUCUACAAACCACAAUUCUCAAAGGAGAAGCAUCAAGAAGGUAAAGAAAUGGCUCCAGGAUCUGAAAGCAAUUCCCAAAGAGGAAGUGCACAGUGUGUGACUUUGCUACAUUGAAAGGAAAAAUACUCAUUUGAUUGUA